rnacentral:tRNA from 1 species
UAUGUAAUUAGUUAAAUUUAUAUUUAAUUAAAU